CCUGGGAGCCAGAAAUCUUUCUGAUUAAAUAGGGGGUCCAAUACUUUUUUCGCUCAUUAAAAUGCAAAUCAAUUUAUAACAUUUUUGACAUGCGUUUUUCUGGAUUUUUUUCUGGUUAUUCUGUCUCUCACUGUUCAAAUAAACCUACCAUUAAAAUUAUAGACUGAUCAUUUCUUUGUCAGUGGGCAAACGUACAAAAUCAGCAGGGGAUCAAAUACUUUUUUUGCUCACUGUAUAACACUUGUAUGUUUUAUGAAUUUGUAUUAUGAGUAUUUCUGUUUUUGAAUUUGGCGCUCUGCAAUUUCACCGGAUGUUGGCCAGGUGUGCCUCUAGCGGAACGCCUUUCCCAAACAGGUUUUAACUUGGGGAUUUCCUUAACGACAAGCGUGAGGUUACAAAUAUAGGGGGGGAGCAAUGAUGUCAGCAGCUAGGUGUAGGAAGCAGGGGUCUAGUUCAUCAGGGCCAAGGGAUUUUUUUCUAUCAAUUUCUUUCAGGGCUUUACUCACUUCUGAAACAGAGAAGGAUGAGAAGGAGAACCUGGUGAAGAGGUGCACAGGCGUGUCAGGGAUGAGAAGGAGAACCUGGUGAAGAGGUAAACAGGGGUGUCAGGGAUGAGAAGGAGAACCUGGUGAAGGAGUGCACAGGGGUGUCAGGUAAAUUCAUAGGGGGCUCAUUUAGACCUUUUGACCUUUUCAAAUAAACUGCCUGCAUCUAUAAAAUGCUGGUUCAAGGCUUUCAGAAUGGAGGUUCUCUCAGUUACUACCUGUGUGUCGACCAACAAUAGUUUGGGAAGCUGUGAUUCUUCUUUUCACUCCAAACCUUUCACUACUUGUCAAAAUGUGGAGGAAUUAUUUAAAAGAUCUGAAGUAGAUUUCAGGUAGUGGUCUCCUUUCACUUUUCGGAUCAUAGCCACACCCAUAUUUCGAAGACGUUUAAAAGCCAUCCAAUCAUCCGCCGAACCAGAACCCUCUUGCUUUAGCCCACAUAGCAUUUAGUUCCCUUAUGAUUUUAGUACGUUCCUCAGUAAACCAAGGGUUCUCUCUGCCCUUAAUCCUGAAUUUAUUUAAAGGGGCCUAUUGCAUACAUCCUGGAAUGCACUGUGGAUGUAAGAAAAGGCUAAUUCAACAUCAGUAAUUCAUUCCAUUCUAUUCCAUUCAAUGCUAGAUACAUCAUGUAAAAAAACCUGGAAUAUCAAACAGCUUCUGGUUUCGUUUCGUAAUGACACGUGGAGAAUGCUAAGGAAUUUGACCAUCUCUCACACAGGCAAUAGCACAGUGACCACUUAUGUCAUUUGCAAAAACACCAGAAGCAUUAAAACGAUGAGGAGUAUUGGUUAAGAUCAAAUCAAUCAAAGAGGAUUUCAGAGGAUCCUUUAUAUUCAACCCCGUUACACUGUUGACAAUCUGAGUGAGAUUAUAGUUAUUGCAUAGAAUUUAGAGUUGAUCAGAGUUAGAUGUUAACCAAUCCUGAUUCAGAUCACCCAUCAGGACAAACUCAGAGUUGACAUGCUGUGAUAACAAUCUGAAAAUACAAUCCAGAGAGCCAACAGUAGCAGAUGGUCUAUAACAACAAGAUACAACAAUAUUUAAACAGGAGCCAAGGUUUAGGUUCAAACACAGAUAUUCAAAUUGCUGAGGUUUAGUAGAAGUCAGAAUGACCGCUGAGAAUUUGUGUUUUACGUAUACAGCAACACCACCACCCUUGGAUUUACCAUCUGCAAUAAAAACAUUCUAACCAUUUAUGACAAUAUUUUUGUCUGUAAUAGAUUUUUUGAGCCAGGUUUCAGAAAGCAUAAAUACAUCAGGAUCUGCAGUUUUUAUCCAUAUAUCCACAAAAUCAAGCUUCGGCAGAAGACUUCUUACAUCCAUAUGCAGAAACUUCAGGCCACUUUGCCUACUUAAUUGGGCAGGGGGAAGAAUGUCAGGACCUGGGUUAGAUUGCAGACAAAAGAAGCAGCAAGAUAAUGGCCAGUCUAGAUCGGGGGUUACAACAUGUGGAUUUACAGACAGCACUUGAAGGACAAUCCAUAGUCACCAGAGUCUUUAACACUACAUAUUACAGGAGAUGUGUAAAGUCCAGAGACAUGGAUAUGUACCAAGAAAACAGUCCUGACAUGUAAGAGCAAGAGUCCCAUUUCUCUCAAAUUGUUUGAGAGAAAUGUGCAUAGAUCUCACGUGCAUUUACGGAGCAAGCGUGUGGUUUCUCCCAAAACUCGAAGGAGAAAUAGUAAUAUAUUUCCUCAUUCACAGAGCAAGCGUGUGGUUUCUCCCAAAACUCGAUGGAGAAAUAGUAAUAUAUUUCCUCAUUCACAGAGCAAGCGUGUGGUUUCUCCGAAAACACCUACUCAUUCAAGGGUUUUCCAAACUUUUGACUAGUACUUUAUGUUAAAGAUUGUCCACCCCAAUAGCAAAGGUUCAUACCUCUAAAUACCAUCUUAUUAGAUGGAGCCACUUCCCCCCAUUAGUUUGGGAUUCAGACCUGCAGUCAUCUUGAUUUCAGACCACUUUGGAGAUAUUAACAAACUUACCAAGUGACCUGUGAUGAAAUCUAUUGUAGAAUAAAUGGAACCUGGAUCCAUUUCAUUCUAUUAACAUGGUUGAUGUGUGUUAUAGCAGUAAUGGGGUUAAACUGAUAUUAAAAUGACAACUCCGUAGGUGGUACCAGGUCAGGGGAGUUCAUCUCUGCUCCCAGCAUCCCUGGGACAGUACUGAUCAACAUAGCUGACCUGAUGCAGAGGUGGACCAGUGAUGUUUUCCUCUCAGUGGUCCAUAGGGUUUUACUGCCCCCUGCUGGAGACUGGAGCAGACUGCAGUCCCUGGCUUUCUUUGUCCAGCUGAAGGAUGAGGUCCUCAUCACCUGUUGUGAUGGGUCCAACAAAUAUCCCCAGGUGAAGGCAGGGUCCUAUCUCAUCCAACACUUCAAUGGCUCUCAUGGAAGUGAGCAGUAUCUAACAUGAAUUAUUUUGUGUUAUGCAAUUAUGUUAGUGAAAAAGUAUGUCAGUAAUGAGAGAAUACAGUUGAAGUCGGAAGUUUACAUACACUUAGGUUGGAGUCACUGGUAAACCACAGUUAGGUCCAGUAUGGACUAUCAAUACAAGUCACCAUUUAGAAUGUGACCCAGUUCAAUGGGUCUGAACAGAACUGGGGGAUGUCAGACAUGAAGAUGCCUAAACACAACUGGAAUAUUCACCUACACCACUAGCUCACCUCCACACAAUCCAUUUACAAGUUAAAGACACACCUUUGAAUAAAUAACAAAGGAAAACUAUUACUAGAUGAAGUUUAGUGUUGUAUUUUUUAUUUCCCAUUACCAUAAAUCAUAUUUAAUCACUGAACAGUAGCAGACCUAACUUCAUCUGUUCCUGACUCUGGAUAGUGGAUUAAAAAGACCAUCAAUCUCCAAUGAUAUUAAAGUACUAUUCUGAACAUUACUGAUAUACUGAGUGGCAAGUCAAGAUAUCUGCUGUUUUUUUGUUUGGUCAAUAGCACCACUUGCUGGACAGGUUUGAUGUUGCUGGACUGAGCAGUAUGGGAGGAUGAAAUAUGACACAUUUAGGACCGGUUUCCUGGACAUCUACAUUGAACAUACUUUUUUCACACUUAAUCUGUUCCAUGUCCAGGAAACCAGUCCAUAUAGUUUAGUUACUAUCUGUUCCAUGUCCAGGAAACCAGUCCAUAUAGUUUAGUUACUAUCUGUUCCAUGUCCAGGAAACCAGCCCAUAUAGUUUAGUUACUAUCUGUUCCAUGUCCAGGAAACCAGUCCAUAUAGUUUAGUUACUAUCUGUUCCAUGUCCAGGAAACCAGUCCAUAUAGUUUAGUUACUAUCUGUUCCAUGUCCAGGAAACCAGUCCAUAUAGUUUAGUUACUAUCUGUUCCAUGUCCAGGAAACCAGCCCAUAUAGUUUAGUUACUAUCUGUUCCAUGUCCAGGAAACCAGUCCAUAUAGUUUAGUUACUAUCUGUUCCAUGUCCAGGAAACCAGUCCAUAUAGUUUAGUAACUAUCUGUUCCAUGUCCAGGAAACCAGUCCAUAUAGUUUAGUUACUAUCUGUUCCAUGUCCAGGAAACCAGUCCAUAUAGUUUAGUUACUAUCUGUUCCAUGUCCAGGAAACCAGUCCAUAUAGUUUAGUAACUAUCUGUUCAAUGCCACUACGGAAAACUUGACAAAUUGAGAAAGCAUAUCAAUGGUUCUGAAUGACAACCAAUAUACAUCAACACCAUACAUCAUGAUUCAUGGAAAUGGAAAGAGAUUAAAAAAUAUUAAUACAAAGCAUUUUAAUGGAUGAAAUCUAUGAAGAUCAAAUCAGU